rnacentral:ribozyme from 1 species
GAAGAAAACACCAUGCAAAUUAAUAUGGCAAGUUAAAGGAAGUAGAGCAGAAAGUAAGGGGAAGAAAGUAAGAAAGGAAGAAAAGGAUGACUUUCUUCGUCUAGGUACUUUCUGCUCGCUUUUGUCUGUUGGUUU